rnacentral:tRNA from 1 species
GAGCCUGUAGCUCAGCGGAUAGAGCGCUUCGCUACGGACGAAGAGGCCGGGAGUUCGAAUCUCUCCAGGCUCG